UACAGAGGUCCCGAGCGUUGUUCGGAUUCACUGGGCGUAAAGGGUGCGUAGGCGGUGCUCUAAGUCGGAUGUGAAAACUCUGGGCUCAACCCAGAGCCUGCAUCCGAAACUGGAGUGCUAGAGUUCUGGAGGGGGUAGCGGAAUUCCUGGUGUAGCGGUGAAAUGCGUAGAUAUCAGGAGGAACACCGGUGGCGAAGGCGGCUACCUGGACAGAAACUGACGCUGAGGCACGAAGCUAGGGGAGCAAACAGG
rnacentral:rRNA from 1 species